UGUGCCAGCAACCUGUGCCAGUGCCUCACCACACUCACAGAACAUAAUUUCUUCCUAAUACCUAAAAUAAACCCACCCUCUUUUAGUUUAAAACCUUCCCCCCUUGCCCUAUCACUACAUAUCCUUGUAAAAAAUUCCUCUCCAACUUUCUUGUAGCUUUCUUUUCCUAUGGGACCAGCCAUCAGUUCUCUUCCUAGUGCUUUUUUCCACACCACCACAGCAUUUCACCUAACAUCCUCCUCACUGGUAACUGCUCCCCAUCCCAUCCCCCUGGAGUUGGGUUCACAGCCCCAGGGGCCAUCCCGGCAGGGUUUUGUUACACCUAGCCCCAAAGGGUGAGGGUAACCCAGGUUCUUGUUAAUAGAUCCCUUGGGGUGGAUUAGAGUGAAAUCAUUAGAUGGGAUGAUCAGUGUUUGUAAAGAGAUUAUAUAUAUAUAAAAUGUGUAAGGGAAAAGAAAGAAAUAGAAAAAAAAACCCGCAAGAGUAGAAACAUACCACCACCCAUGGAUCGCAUGGCAAGACUUGAUUGCUGCAAUUUAGUGUCCCUGGGUCAGAGUGAUGAUCACAGAUUUGAUCUGUUGGGGGUGGGGGAAGAAACCCAUAAAACACAAGGUCCGAUAGGUUCAAAGACACUCAGGCUCAGUGGGGACACCCAGGUACCUCCUCUGGUGGAGAGCUUUCAGCCCCCGGGUGGAAGGGCUCAGAAAUGAGUCUGGGGGCACUCUGGGGACCUUUGAUGGCUUGUGACACCUUCUAAGACGUGAGAGCUGCCUCUCACACCAGCGCAGUUGAGCCAGGAAUGCCCCAUCAGGAGGGAUGAAAACCCUCAGGACCUUUCCCGGGAGGAGGAGGGGGGGGAGUUUUACAGCUGAGUGAGUUGUGUAAGGGAGAGCAAUCGGAGUGAUGAAAAGCAGCAUCCCACCUCACAGCAUCUGCCUUUUAUCGGCCUCAAAGACCCUUUGUAGCCUCCGGCGGUGAUUGUUCAGCCCCUCUGGCUUAUGCAGAGCAGAGGUUUGCCAUUACACACCCAAAAACUCGCCUCCUCCCCCCUCGGGCGGGGUGCAAAGCACCCUGCCGCCUCCACAAAUGGGCCAUUGUUUUGAGUCAUUAACCAUUAACAUUUCAGUCUGUCGCAGGGCUGGGUGAUGGCAGGACAUGACGGUAUUGCCUUCCCACCAGACAUGAGUGGUAACCUUCCCCCGUGGACACUCUUGACGCUCCAUGUCACACCUGAAAGGCAUCUUCUUCAUAACGACGCUGAGUGGCUUAUCCUUUUUUUGUUGUUGUUUUGUUUGGUUUGGUUUUUUUGUGCUCCCCGGACUCACCUAUUGCAUGAAGGGAAGGAUUGACAAGUCCCACACCAAGCAGCCAGCGCUCACUCUUCUCCCUGCUUCACCCUGAGUGGUUGGGGGCAGAGCUGACACAAAGGCUUUUGCCAGUUCCAGGGGACAUUUCCCCAUGUAGCCCCAUCCACAUCCCUGCUGUGCCUCUCCAAGGGCACCCAAAAUCCAGUGCCGGUCAUAGGCCCACAUGCAGAGGUGAGCUCAGUGCUCUGGCCUUGCCAGAGGUAGAAAGGAUCUCUCCACGUGCCCUCUUUGCCUUGACCCAUUUCACUCCAUUUUUCUGCUUUACUUCCUGUGACAAAUUUGCUGUGCCGGCUCUGCGGAAAGCAGCUGGAAGAGUUUCAUGCCAGCACUGUUUUUCUCCUUUAUACCGCUCAGCAGGCUUGGAUCCAUUCAAAUCUCCCUUUCUUUUCUUUAUUUUUUUUUUUUCAUCUUUUCAGUGCAGCUUCCUACAAUUUCAGCUUUUUGGCUGACUCGAGGCUUGAAAUCUGUCUUUUCUCUUCCCUGUGCUUCCUCCUGCAGUAACCCUUCAUGGCCUUGCUUUCGACAGGCGCGUGGAGGUCUGGCAUGAAUGCCAGAAUGGAAAACUGCUGGCACCCAACAGAGCCACAUAGAAGGAAUCUCACAGUGAAAAGUUUUCAGGGCACACUGCAAGCUGUUCUGGCUCCAUCCUGCAGACAGGUAAGGCAGGCAGAUGUCCAGCAUCUUAGCACACAGGAGGACUGCAUGCUCAGGCAGACCCUCAGGAACAGUCAGGAAGCAGAGCCAUUCCAUGUCACAGCUGCCCCUCCUGACAGCACAGCUGUGCCUCGGGCUUGGACACCCCCAGUUUUGAUGGCACAAAUGCAAACGCAUUUCUGGCCAUCUCAUGUCUUCUGAGGACUUGCCACUCUCUGAUGCAGGAAAGCCAGCAGUCAGCUGCUCUUCCAUUUGGCAGACACCUGUGCAGCUGGAAGGACACCAGAGGUAGGACACCAGAGUGAUGUCCCACCAGCAGCCAGCCAUGCUGCUGGCAGCUGCAAGCUGAGCUGUUCCCUAUGGUUGGGCUAGAUGACCUUUUCCGACUUAAAUGAUCCUACCAUCAGCACUGAUGUUCACAUUACUGGGUAACAGUAAAAGCAGGGCAGGAUGAGUUAUCAGAGGGGAAUGGGAACCCUCACCGGGCCUCUACCAAACUCCCUAACCAAAAACCUGCAACACAAAAGGACAUUUUUGUUUUAUACUGAUUUAAACCCUAUUGGUCAGCCAGCCUGGAGCUGGUCUGAUUUCACUCUGCUCUUGCCGGGAAGCAUUUGAGUGAUGGACUGUGUGUGUUUGUUUCUGGAUGCUGCUCACUGUGUGCACACUAUCAUAUGAUUCUGCUUGAUGCUGGAGGAAUAACAAUAAUAAUAAUAAUAAUAAUAAUAAUAAUAAUAAUAAUAAUAAUAAUAAUAGUGAUUAUUGUUAUAUGCUUACACGCAUGUUGUGGUGCUGGCACCCAGUUCCCAAAUAGCUGGAGUCAGACAUGGAGCUCAGCACACUGUCUCCUGGAACAGAUCCCCAAGUACCACAGAUAACUCUCUCGAGUUUAUGCUCCAGAUUGGGCAGCUCUUUGGGGUUUUAAUUUUGUUUAAGAAACAUUUUUGCCAAGAAUUUGCUCAGGAAUAUUCGCUGGCCUGUAAUUCUUCUUGGACCUUAAACAAGCCAGUGGCAACAAGGCAGGACUCAUCCUUGUCACAUGGGUCGACCUCCUCUCUUUUUAAAGAAGUCAGGCAUUUCCAGGCUCACAGCCCUGCCAGCUCCAUGCCCCCAUCCCAGCAGCAGAUGCAGGGCAUACUCAGUGCCUGGCAAACCCAGCCUGGUCAAAAGGAAAUGACAAAGGAAAAUACCCUUACCAAAAACAAGGUCACCUACUCUUAAGAAAUGCUCUUUCCUGCUAUCUAUGGUUUAGGGAUUUUUUUUCAUAUAAUUUCAUGGCAUUUCAUUUGUCCUGCAUAUUAUAUAGGAAAACCUUAUUUUUUUUAUUCUGUUUCAUUUUAAAACUAUUAAAACCAUCUGCCACUUAGUAAACACUAACAUACUUUCUUUUCUAGAUCAAAGUGUCUCCUGCCUAUGUUGUAAUGGAAGUUUGACAUUCUUUUUUACAAGACAGGCAGGAGACACUUUGAUCAGGUGCCAAACUGUUUCACUACAACAAACAGGCAACACUCUGAGCUAGAAAUGAUAAGAUGUUAUUAUUCACCGUGAUGAUUUCAUGACAUGUCAGCCAUGAUGUUAAAAAAAACCUACAGAACACAUAAAUUUAAAAAUAUCACUGUGAAAUUCCAGAUUUUUAAAAAUUAGCAACUUAUGAAUUGAAAGCAUUCCUAUUAUAUUUUUCCUCUACAGAUUUAUGACCAUUUUGUAGCACUUUUGGCUACUUUUUGGAAUUGUUUUAAUUUUGAUCAGUAUCUUCUGUCAAAAACACUUCAUUGAAAAAAUUCUGAUGGAUUCUGAUGGAUUUUUAAAAAGCCUUUUUAUAGACAAAAUAUUAUUGUCCCUGUCAGAGAACAAAGGAAUCACCUGCUAGUUCUUUUGUCAUGCCUAAAUAAAUUAAUUGCUUGAGGAUUAUUUUAUCUAUGUUUUUCAAAUGCACUGCUCCAACCAGCUCCUCCAUACAUAUUUGCCUUUUAUCCUGGCAUGCAGGAUGACUCCCCAGAGAGCCCAUGGCUUUCCAAUGACAUAAAUCCUGCAGCUACACACUGUGGAAAAACAAAAACAAAACAAAACAAAAAAAAAACCUGAAACCAAAAACAAACAAUUUAAAAAAAACAAAAAACACCUCCCAAACGAAACCAUGUACACUGUAAUUUCUGUCUUAAUUUGCAUUGUGAAGAAAAGAUGAGCUCUUCCAUAGUCACCUAUGCCAAGCACAUGGACACCACAGAGAGGCUGUGAGUGUGCAGCCCCUGAAUAUGGGAGCUGCAGGUGGAGCAGCUAAAGUCAAGCAGCCUCUCUUCCUCUCCCUAGAAGCAGUUUUUCUCCUCUUUUGUCAGCAGGAGCUAUUCCAGAUUUCCAUGUGGACAGUCACAGCUGAGGAAGGGUUGAUUAUCUCUGAUAAAGAGCUGGAGGAGGUGUCUGCAACCCAGGGUAGCUGGUAGUACAAGGGAAGCAGCAUGCACAAGGUCUCACCAGUGGGAAAAGAUGGGUACUCUUCAUCUACAAUUUACAAGUUAUUUCACCCCAAAUGAGGUGAGAAACUUCAUGGGCCAAGACAAAAGUGGCAUCAAAAGUUUUAAAAAAUAGCCUGAUUGGGUAUUAGGAAAAAAACCCCAAACAUUGAAAGAGAUUCCCCAGAAGGGCUGUGGAUUUUUUGUCCUUGGAGGUUUCCAAAACUCAGGUGGACACAGUCUUGAGUGAUCUGCCCUCACACUGAAAUUAGCCCUUCUUUGAAUGACAAGUUGGAGCACAUGACCUCCCCAGGUCCCUUAAAGGUUCAGUCACUCCACAUCUCUACUACUAUGUCCCUGCAAUCUUCUGAUGAAUCCCAGGCCAAGAGAUAACAAGUCUCAGGUUUGCCCAAGCAUGAUCUUGUAUCCUUACCCACAGCAGCAAUGGCAUUUGCUGUGCUGCUGGUGCAGGUCAUCAUCUCCCAUUCCAGGCAUGUACCAUCGGAGGGACAGCACCCAACCCUUUCUAGGAGAAAGCCUUUGGCUUCCCAAAUAACUGCAUUUCAAGCAUACAUUUGAACAAGUCUGGGUUUGAAGGACUCUUAUCACACAACCCAAGGUCAGGCAGAGACCCAGGGCAGCACCAGUCUGGGGGCAUUUUGGCACAGCCAGUUGUUUGUCCAACACAGCCACAUGCUGGUGCAGUAUCAACACAUGGAGCAUGUCUGAGCACAGCCCAGGCUGCUGCACACCGAGGUUCUGUGUCAGUGCGUGCAGCACAAACAGGCACCAAGCACAGGUCACCUCAUGUUUGGGUCUGCUUUCAUUCCCUCAUGCUUCAGGUCAGCAGGUGCCACAGCCUGGAAAAUUAUUUUCCAGCAUCAAUGAAACAAAGGCUGUUCAAGAAACAACUAAGCCUUAGAUUAGCCUCUCAUCUUUUAAAAGUGAGUUGUUUGAAACCAAAACCCAUAGGAUUGUGUACAUUUAUCAUUUCAACCCAGCAGUAAGUAUUUUAAUGUGCAAUAAAUCAUUAUUCACAGAAUCACAGGAUAUGCUGAGUUAGAAGGGACCCCCAAGGAUCAUGGAGUCCAACUCUUAGCCCUGCACAGCACCAUCCCUAAGUGUCACAUCCUGUUCCUGAGAGCAUUGUGGAAAUGUUUCUUGAGCUCUGCCAGGCUGGUGCUCUGAUCACUUCCCUGGGGAGCUGUUCCUGUGCCCAAACACCUCUGGGUGAAGAACCUUUUCCUGAUAUCGAACCUGAACCUCCCCGGGCACAGCUUCAGGCCAUUCCCUGGGGUCCUGUCAGUGGUCACAGGAAUGAACUGAUCAGUGCCUGCCCCUCCUUUUCCCCUCCCAAGGAAGCUGUAACUGCAGUGAGAGCUCCCCUCAGUCCCCUCCAGGCUGAGCAGACCAAGGGACCUCAGCUGCUCCUCACAUGGCUUCUCCUCCAGGCUCUUAAAUCCAUGACCUAGGAGGCAAGAGGUUUGGGUUGGGCACUGCAAACCAACCAGAAGCAAUCUGUUAUUCUAGGAUUCCAGUUUUUCAAAUAACUCUCCUGUCCUUUGCCAUGCUCCUGCUGAAGUUCUGAAAGGGUGAUGCGCUGUGGACUGGAGAUGGGACCAUUACUGCCACUGGUUAUUUUUGCUGAAAAUGGCUGUUGCUAUUUUUCAGUCUCGUUGACUUAGCCAGCAGUUUCUGGAAAACAGAAAACUCAGUGCUUUAUCUUGACCCUUGACAACCUAAGCUUUAGGAAACCUGCUCUUGGAGAGUUCUGGAUCCACAGACCUGCCCACAUUGUUGGGGCCACUGAGAAAGCACUGCUGGCCAUGCCCCUGGGCACUGAAGGACCUCAGCCCUGGUGCCUGGGCACAGUCUGAGCUCCAGGAAAGCAAUCUUCUACAAAGCAGUCAGUGCCAAACACUGCCCAGGUUGUAGAGCUAUAAUAAAAUCACUCCAGAAUAUUUUGGGGUGAGUGAAUGAACACCACUGCCUCUGAACUAAAUGCUCCUUUUAAGAGUCUCAGUAGAGUUGUAGCAUUCUAUAACCCAAAUCUGAACACUGUUUCUCCUCACCCAUCUGCACAGCUGAGAGUGACCCCUUGCCUUCCCUGUUUCUGUAAACAAGGCUGCAACCUUUAUUCCUGCCUUGAGGAACAGAUUGAAUUACUUUUGAUGAUCCAGAACAAUGUCAUCCUUUAUUCCCUCUUCAAAAGCAAUUAGUAUUUCAGCUUGAUUAUUUGCAGAUAAUAUGAGUCACCAGAUAAAACACACUGAAUACAAAAUGCUCCUUGGGAGGGAAAGAGAGAAAUAGUAUUUAAGGUUAAAAAUCCAGCAUAUGCUUAAAUAUCACGAAACUGUCACACAUCAAGAAAAAAAAUUCAGUCCCACUUUGUGAAACAGAAAGAUUGAUCCUGUGUUUGUUUAACCCUAAACCCUUAAUUAAUUUGUUACAGGAUCAGGGCACCAUGACACCAAAGACAGAUUGUGUCACUGUCACAGCACACGAACAAGUUUGGUGUAACACAAUUUCAGAGUUGUCAAACUAUCAAAAACUUCAGGCCAAAUAUGUCAUUUGAUCUGAAAAAACAAUUUUGGACUUUUUUCCCCCCUCUUUUUUCUGAUUUCUAGCUUGGUGUAUUGCAAUGCGUUGAUAUUUUCAGCUCUUUUACCCAGAAACCCAAGGCUAGAAGCUGACUCAUUCUUAAUAGAAGGUACAAGUCUCACAGGAGCAGCAUUAUUUCAGGAACUCACACUUUAAUGGGAACAUCAAAUCUAUCUGGCAUUAUGAUAAGGUCAUCAGAAAUUAGCAAUACUGAAGGUUUAUCCUGGGUUUGCUUCUAAUACAGAUGAUAGCUGAUACAUCCUUUCUCUGUACUGAUGUUGUGAAAUAGUUUCAUUAGUGUAUAUAUAGAAAUAGAAUUUUGUGAGACGUUAGACCAAAACUAAACGUUUCUUUUCUCUUUUUCUGAAAAGAAAAUUAAUGUCUGAGAGUUUUCAUAUACAACAUCUCAAAAGAGUGUACAUGUUUUCAUUUGAACCUCUCCGUAGAUUGGUUGGUCUUCCAGGAGCUGGAAUAGCCAUGAACUGCCAGGCUUUGCUGGAAGGAUUCUUUCUUCCCCCUGAUAUGCACAUCACUGUGUGUAGAACAGCUGUGGCAUUCCACAGAGUGUUUUAUAUUUGCAUUCAUUUUUUAGCAUUGAUACAAGAAUUCUUUCCUCUCUAAAUUACUAACAACUGAUACCUGUACUUCCACAUCCCCAAAAGGAAACUUCUUUAUUUAAAGGGGUGCUCGCCACUGAAGCAGUGUGGUCAAAUGCAAAGAGAAUUUUGGUACAAGUUAAUUUUACCUCCAGAUUGCCUAUGAGCAGCCAUGAUGAGAUAAAAUUAGAAAAUCCAUGGAAAGUGGAAGUGUUUUCCCCUGGGCUACAGGGUGCAGAGGUGCAGCCCUCUCCUCACCCCAUGUGCCUCACCAGUGGCUGGGGGCAUCAUCCUCACGAGGAGUUCCUCGAGGGAAGGGUGGGUGGGUAGUGGCCAGCUGAAAGCUCCUGUCCCACCUGUCUUACAGCCUUCCACCUCCUGAUCCAACAGGCUCAGCACAGAUGGCCUGGGGGGGUCUAGGCACAUACAUGUGUUCCACCAAAGCACAGACUGUCCAGGAGCAAGUUAAAACACUGGAAGCCUCGAGGAUGCUCCAGUAGAAAAGCAGCCCCAAACCUCCCCACCGCCAACUCUUUAAAACAGAAAGGCACCCUGCUAGACUAAGUCCUUCCCCUGUAAGACUCCACUUGAUUUAUUAAAAAUAAACUAAGAACAACAACAUUGUGAAAGGCAGAUGGAGAAAGCUCAUGGCUACAGGCUUCUCAGCAAGGCUUUGCUAAACCCUAUACUCAGGGGCACAGACAGGUGCAUCACUCCAACCCAUCUGCUACACUCAGCUGCAGUGUUCUGAUUCCCAUUCAAUUUUCUCCCAUCCCAGGUAAGUAUUAACUUUUCUCCUCUAUCAACUGGGGGCCACUUCUCCCUGAAGGCAGGGGAGCUUGCCAGGAGCUGCAAAUCAAGCCCACUCUUCAUGCUCACCUUCACUGUUCAUUUCUCCUCAAACCUGGUGUUUUCACCAUUUCUUUUCUACAAAGAUGCCCUUCUGGCUGCUUUCAGUCGUGAUUUUGCAAGUCUUUAUUUUGCAGUUCUUACAAAUGCUUUAAGCAAGACCACUGAAGCACUUUGUAACAUCCUUCUGGAGCAUUUAUAAACAAGGUUGUGGUUCGUGUCAGGAUCACUUAGAGACCAACGUUUACCUCUAGGGACAUGGAAAUAUUUCUGAAGAGCUGCUCCUUGCAGGGGUUCAGUGGUGUGGCCUGCCUCAGUCCUCACCUCAGUCGCCUCGAAGGGUCACUGCAAGCAGGAAUGAUGGCCCUGGAGCAGCUGGCACCAGGGAACAUACCACUUACAGCACCAGAGACUGAAUUAAGUCAGUGAAAAAGCGCAACUUCUUCUAGUAUGGGCAUUCCUAUAAAUUCAUCAUACUUUCGUGUCUAUGCCAAAGAUGCAGUAAGUUACCCCUGGAGCACCUUUGGAACUCCUUAAUAUCCUACCUCCCAUGGGAGAAAGAUUCUGCUCUGCAGCAAUCACUUCCAGUAGAUUAUAAGGCAGAUUCCAUGGCUUCUCAGUGGUGCCAAGUUUCCAGCUUCUCUCCUGCUUUGGAGGGAAGAGGAAAUGAGCUCCUACAAGCCUCCUCUGAGGAAUGGUUCCUCAUUUCAAACACCUGUAAGUGGAGCCAGCAGGGCAGGAGGGGGACGAAGUGCAAAGCACCUAAGGCUGCAGCCCCAGUGAGCCCAUGGAGGGCACUCUGUUCUGGCAUCGGCUGGUUUCACAGAGAUCUUGAGUUUAAGCACAGAUCUAAUUGAAUUGCAGAUGUCUUUUCUGAUGGCUAUCUGCUAGCAAAGCUUCAAUUAAAGCAGGAGCAGAGGCAGAACAGGAGGUUCUCAGUAAUAAAGCCAAUGGAAGGAAGAGUGGGCGUUUACAGCAGUGUCCACAGAAAGCAUAAUACAGCUACUUUCUUAUGAUGACUUGAACCGCAGCCAGCGUGUAUUACCACAUACACAUCACUGAAAAACCACCCCCACCCAACCCAGCUGAAGAAUCAAAAUUAAGCUUCAAGAUGGCCUGAGAAUCUGGUUUAGCUGAGGAGUAAGGUUUUCGAGAACUGUUUUCCCUUUCCUCAGCCGAUUGUUACGCCGUACCCAAAUUCCUGUUGUGCAACAAUUUGGAGGCCUCUUGGCCGCGUCCUACCCAAAUUCUCCUGCUUCUUGGCGCAGCACAACUCUCCUGGGGGCAUCUCAAUGGACAAUCACCCCCUGGGAUUCAGUUUCAAGGGAAAAAAAAAUCAGAGUUUUGCUCAUUUUCUCUUUUGAACUGCUGCCCUUUUCCGAUGUAUUUACAAUGUAAGGAAGUCGGUUUAUUAAUGGUUUGGCUUUUAACUUCGUUGUUGAGCUUGGCUUUGCUCCUGUUGGAAAUUGGACCCCAGUUGAGGAGGGCAGUUGCCAGUGUCUGCUGGAAACUCUUUGCCUGGGAUUUUCAAGCAGGCCGUUUGUUGACCUAGCUCAGCAUAUACUAAAUAAAUGCA